rnacentral:rRNA from 1 species
AUUGAACGCUGGCGGCAUGCUUUACACAUGCAAGUCGAACGGCAGCGCGGGCUUCGGCCUGGCGGCGAGUGGCGAACGGGUGAGUAAUGCAUCGGAACGUGCCCAGUAGUGGGGGAUAGCCCGGCGAAAGCCGGAUUAAUACCGCAUACGACCUAGGGUGAAAGCGGGGGACCGAAAGGCCUCGCGCUAUUGGAGCGGCCGAUGUCGGAUUAGCUAGUUGGUGGGGUAAAGGCUUACCAAGGCGACGAUCCGUAGCUGGUCUGAGAGGACGACCAGCCACACUGGGACUGAGACACGGCCCAGACUCCUACGGGAGGCAGCAGUGGGGAAUUUUGGACAAUGGGGGCAACCCUGAUCCAGCCAUGCCGCGUGCGGGAAGAAGGCCUUCGGGUUGUAAACCGCUUUUGUUCGGGAAGAAAUCCUCUGGGCUAAUACCCCGGGGGGAUGACGGUACCGGAAGAAUAAGCACCGGCUAACUACGUG